rnacentral:rRNA from 1 species
GUCUGCAACCCGACUACAUGAAGCUGGAAUCGCUAGUAAUCGCGGAUCAGAAUGCCGCGGUGAAUACGUUCCCGGGUCUUGUACACACCGCCCGUCACACCAUGGGAGUCGGAAAUGCCCGAAGUCUGUGACCCAACCUACGGGAGGGAGCAGCCGAAGGCAGGUCGGAUGACUGGGGGUGAAGUCGUAACAAGGUAUC